AUGAACGCUGGCGGCGUGCUUAACACAUGCAAGUCGAACGAUUAAAGCUCACUUCGAUGAGUGUAUAGAGUGGCGAACGGGUGAGUAACACGUGGGAAACCUGCCCCUUUCUUCGGGAUAACUUCGGGAAACCGUUGCUAAUACCGGAUACUCCGGGAUGGUCGCAUGGCCGACCCGGGAAAGCUUUAUGUGGAAAGGGAUGGUCCCGCGGCCCAUUAGCUUGUUGGUGGGGUAAUGGCCUACCAAGGCGAUGAUGGGUAGCCG
rnacentral:rRNA from 1 species